GAUGAACGCUGGCGGUGUGCCUAAUACAUGCAAGUCGAGCGAACAGACGAGGAGCUUACUCCUCUGACGUUAGCGGCGGACGGGUGAGUAACACGUGGAUAACCUACCUAUAAGACUGGGAUAACUUCGGGAAACCGGAGCUAAUACCGGAUAACAUGUUGAACCGCAUGGUUCAACAGUGAAAGACGGUCUUUCUGUCACUUAUCGAUGGAUCCGCGUCGCAUUAGCUAGUUGGUAAGGUAACGGCCUACCAAGGCAACGAUGGGUAGCCGACCUGGGAGGGUGAUCGGCCACACGGGAGCUGAGACACGGUCCAGACUCCUGCGGGAGGCAGCAGUAGGGAAUCUUACGCAAUGGGCGAGAGCCUGACGGAGCAACGGCGCGUGAGUGAAGAAGGUCUUCGGAUCGUAAAACUCUGUUAUUAGGGAAGAACAAAUGUGUAAGUAACUAUGCACGUCUUGACGGUACCUGAUCAGAAAGCCACGGCUAACUACGUG
rnacentral:rRNA from 1 species